rnacentral:rRNA from 1 species
UGAACCUGCGGAGGGAUCAUUACCGAGUUUACAACUCCCAAACCCCUGUGAACAUACCUAUACGUUGCCUCGGCGGAUCAGCCCGCGCCCCGUAAAACGGGACGGCCCGCCCGAGGACCCCUAAACUCUGUUUUUAGUGGAACUUCUGAGUAAAACAAACAAAUAAAUCAAAACUUUCAACAACGGAUCUCUUGGUUCUGGCAUCGAUGAAGAACGCAGCAAAAUGCGAUAAGUAAUGUGAAUUGCAGAAUUCAGUGAAUCAUCGAAUCUUUGAACGCACAUUGCGCCCGCCAGUAUUCUGGCGGGCAUGCCUGUUCGAGCGUCAUUUCAACCCUCAAGCUCAGCUUGGUGUUGGGACUCGCGGUAACCCGCGUUCCCCAAAUCGAUUGGCGGUCACGUCGAGCUUCCAUAGCGUAGUAAUCAUACACCUCGUUACUGGUAAUCGUCGCGGCCACGCCGUAAAACCCCAACUUCUGAAUGUUGACCUCGGAUCAGGUAGGAAUACCCGCUGAACUUAAGCAUAUCAAUAAGGCGGAGGAAA